rnacentral:rRNA from 1 species
UACGGGGGGGGCAAGCGUUGUUCGGAAUUACUGGGCGUAAAGGGCUCGUAGGCGGCCAACUAAGUCGGACGUGAAAUCCCCAGGCUCAACCUGGGAACUGCGUCCGAUACUGGAUGGCUUGAAUCCGGGAGAGGGAUGCAGAAUUCCAGGUGUAGCGGUGAAAUGCGUAGAUAUCUGGAGGAACACCGGUGGCGAAGGCGGCAUCCUGGGCCAACACUGACGCUCAUGCACGAAAGCGUGGGGAGCAAACAGG